GAUGAACGCUGGCGGCGUGCUUAACACAUGCAAGUCGAACGAAGCACUUAUGAUUGAGAUUUCGGUUGAUUGAUUAAGUGACUUAGUGGCGGACGGGUGAGUAACGCGUGGGUAACCUGCCUUGUACAGGGGGAUAACAGUUAGAAAUGACUGCUAAUACCGCAUAACCCGCUAAGGUCGCAUGACCUAGACGGAAAAGAUUUAUCGGUACAAGAUGGACCCGCGUCUGAUUAGCUAGUUGGUGAGGUAACGGCCCACCAAGGCGACGAUCAGUAGCCGGCCUGAGAGGGUGACCGGCCACAUUGGGACUGAGACACGGCCCAAACUCCUACGGGAGGCAGCAGUGGGGAAUAUUGCACAAUGGGGGAAACCCUGAUGCAGCAACGCCGCGUGAGUGAAGAAGUAUUUCGGUAUGUAAAGCUCUAUCAGCAGGGAGAAAAUGACGGUACCUGACUAAGAAGCCCCGGACUAACUACGUG
rnacentral:rRNA from 1 species